ACUAGAAUACAGUAUAUAUACAUUGUGUAAAACAGUACGAAAACAUUAAUAAAGUGACAAGUGUUCAACGAAUCCAUGUACACAAGGCAGCAGGCUCUAAGGUUCAGGGCAGGGUGCUGGGUGGAGGGCGACUAGUAACAGUGACUAAGGUUCAGGGCAGGGUGCUGGGUGGAGGCCGACUAGUAACAGUGACUAAGGUUCAGGGCAGGGUGCUGGGUAGAGGCCGACUAGUAACAGUGACUAAGGUUCAGGGCAGGGUGCUGGGUGGAGGGUAGCUAGUAACAGGCUCUGAGGUUCAGGGCAGGGUGCUGGGUAGAGGCCGACUAGUAACAGUGACUAAGGUUCAUGGCAGGGUACUGGGUGGAGGGUAGCUAGAAACAGUGACUAGGGUUCAGGCUAGGGUACUGGGUGGAGGGUAGCUAGAAACAGUGACUAAGGUUCAUGGCAGGGUACUGGGUUGAUGCCGGCAAGUGGUGACUAAGGUUCAGGGCAGGGUACUGAGUGGAGGAAAGCUAGUAACUGUGACGAAUGUUCGGGGCAGGGUACUGAGUGGAGGCUGGA
ensembl:lncRNA